UUGCCCCAGUAACGGCGAGUGAAGCGGCAACAGCUCAAAUUUGAAAUCUGGCCCCAGGCCCGAGUUGUAAUUUGCAGAGGAUGCUUUUGGCGCGGUGCCUUCCGAGUUCCCUGGAACGGGACGCCAUAGAGGGUGAGAGCCCCGUACGGUUGGACACCAAGCCUUUGUAAAGCUCCUUCGACGAGUCGAGUAGUUUGGGAAUGCUGCUCAAAAUGGGAGGUAUAUUUCUUCUAAAGCUAAAUAUAGGCCAGAGACCGAUAGCGCACAAGUAGAGUGAUCGAAAGAUGAAAAGCACUUUGAAAAGAGGGUUAAACAGCACGUGAAAUUGUUAAAAGGGAAGCGCUUGUGACCAGACUUGCGUCCGGUGAAUCACCCAGCUCUCGCGGCUGGGGCACUUCGCCGGCACAGGCCAGCAUCAGCUUGCCGUCGGGGACAAAAGCUUCAGGAACGUAGCUCUCUUCGGGGAGUGUUAUAGCCUGUUGCAUAAUACCCUUCGGCGGGCUGAGGUACGCGCUCCGCAAGGAUGCUGGCGUAAUGGUCAUCAGCGACCGUCUGAAG
rnacentral:rRNA from 1 species